AUACGUAGGGGGCGAGCGUUGUCCGGAAUUACUGGGCGUAAAGGGUGCGUAGGCGGCCUUUUAAGUCAGAUGUGAAAGACCACAGCUUAACUGUGGGGUUGCAUUUGAAACUGGAAGGCUUGAGUAUCGGAGAGGGUAGUGGAAUUCCAAGUGUAGCGGUGAUAUGCGUAGAUAUUUGGAGGAACACCAGUGGCGAAGGCGACUACCUGGACGAAAACUGACGCUGAGGCACGAGAGCUAGGGGAGCAAACAGGAUUAGAUACCCUGGUAGUCCUAGCUGUAAACGAUGGGUACUAGGUGUAGGGGUUUCGAAACCUCUGUGCCGGAGUUAACGCAAUAAGUACCCCGCCUGGGGAGUACGUUCGCAAGAAUGAA
rnacentral:rRNA from 1 species